GAUGAACGCUGGCGGCGUGCUUAACACAUGCAAGUCGAACGAGAAGUGGAGACGGAAACCUUCGGGUGGAAGACUUUAUUUCGAGUGGCGGACGGGUGAGUAACGCGUGGGUAACCUGCCUCAUACAGGGGGAUAACAGUUGGAAACGACUGUUAAUACCGCAUAAGACCACAGCACCGCAUGGUGCGGGGGUAAAAACUCCGGUGGUAUGAGAUGGACCCGCGUUCGAUUAGCCAGUUGGCGGGGUAACGGCCCACCAAGGCAACGAUCAGUAGGGGUUCUGAGAGGAAGGUCCCCCACAUUGGAACUGAGACACGGUCCAAACUCCUACGGGAGGCAGCAGUGAGGAAUAUUGGUCAAUGGACGGAAGUCUGAACCAGCCAAGUAGCGUGCAGGAAGACGGCCCUAUGGGUUGUAAACUGCUUUUGUAUGGGGAUAAAGUCAAUCACGUGUGAUUGUUUGCAGGUACCAUACGAAUAAGGACCGGCUAAUUCCGUGCCAGCAGCCGCGGUAAUACGGAAGGUUCGGGUGUUAUCCGGAUUUAUUGGGUUUAAAGGGAGCGUAGGCCGGAGAUUAAGUGUGUUGUGAAAUGUAGACGCUCAACGUCUGACUUGCAGCGCAUACUGGUUUCCUUGAGUACGCACAACGUUGGCGGAAUUCGUCGUGUAGCGGUGAAAUGCUUAGAUAUGACGAAGAACUCCGAUUGCGAAGGCAGCUGACGGGAGCGCAACUGACGCUGAAGCUCGAAGGUGCGGGUAUCGAACAGG
rnacentral:rRNA from 1 species